rnacentral:rRNA from 1 species
UACGUAGGGUGCGAGCGUUAAUCGGAAUUACUGGGCGUAAAGCGUGCGCAGGCGGUGAUGUAAGACAGAUGUGAAAUCCCCGGGCUCAACCUGGGAACUGCAUUUGUGACUGCAUCGCUGGAGUGCGGCAGAGGGGGGUGGAAUUCCGCGUGUAGCAGUGAAAUGCGUAGAUAUCUGGAGGAACACCGGUGGCGAAGGCGGCAUCCUGGACCGGUAUUGACGCUGAGGCGCGAAAGCCAGGGGAGCAAACGGG